rnacentral:misc_RNA from 1 species
AGGGUCGGAUAUGAAAUAAAUAAUAAAAGAUAGUUGGUAAAACAACUAUUACAUCGCCAAGUCCUCAAAAAGCUUGGUUAGAAUUUUAUAGUAUGAACAGUCUGUUUCAUUUCAAGCUAUGUUGUUAUUAUUAUGAGCUUGAUUAUCAGAACUUGGGAUUACUUUAAAACCUUUAUUUCCUGUUGAGACUCGGCUCGAUCCAUAUGGGAUAUGGUAAAGAGUGGGAGAGUUGAUCAGGAACUAAUAACUCAUACUUACGACCUC